rnacentral:rRNA from 1 species
GACGAACGCUGGCGGCGUGCUUAACACAUGCAAGUCGAACGAAGUGGCGAACGGGUGAGUAACGCGUAAUCAACCUGCCCUUCAGAGGGGGACAACAGUUGGAAACGACUCCUAAUACCGCAUACUGAAGGAGGGGAUUGCGUCGGAUUAGCUAGUUGGAGGGGUAACGGCCCACCAAGGCGAUGAUCAGUAGCCGGGCUUGGAGGAUGAACGGCCACAUUGGGACUGGGAAAAGGCCCAGAAUCCUAAGGGAGGCAGAAAGGGGGGAACUUCCGCAAAUGACGGAAGUCUGACGGAGCAACGCCGCGUGAGUGAUGACGGCCUUCGGGUUGUAAAGCUCUGUUAAGCGGGACGCGGUACCGGAAUAGAAAGCCACGGCUAACUACGUGCCAGCCGCCGCGGUAAUAC